rnacentral:rRNA from 1 species
GCGUUCUAUUCAGCGUUGAAGGUAUACCGGUAAGGAGUGCUGGAGCGGAUAGAAGUGAGCAUGCAGGCAUGAGUAGCGAUAAUUGAUGUGAGAAUCAUCAACGCCGAAAACCCAAGGUUUCCUACGCGAUGCUCGUCAUCGUAGGGUUAGUCGGGUCCUAAGCAAAGUCCGAAAGGGGUAUGCGAUGGAAAAUUGGUUAAUAUUCCAAUACCAAUUAUUAUGUGCGAUGGAAGGACGCUUAAAGUUAGUGGAGCUAGCGGAUGGAAGUGCUAGUCUAAGGGUGUAGGUUGAGUUAUAGGCAAAUCCGUAACUCUUUAUCCGAGACCUAAAAGGCUCAUGACGCUCUUCGGAGUAGAUUGAGAAUCCAUGAUACUAUCGAGCCAAGAAAAGUUUCUAAGUUUAGUAAUAAUUGCCCGUACCGUAAACCGACACAGGUGGGUGGGAUGAGUAUUCUAAGGCGCGUGGAAGAACUCUCUUUAAGGAACUCUGCAAAAUAGCACCGUAUCUUCGGUAUAAGGUGUGCCUAACUUUGUAUUAAGAUUCACUCCCAAAGCAAAGAAGGUUACAACAAAGAGUCCCUCCCGACUGUUUACCAUAAACACAGCACUCUGCUAACACGUAAGUGGAUGUAUAGGGUGUGACGCCUGCCCGGUGCUCGAAGGUUAAUUGAUGAUGUUAGCUAUGCGAAGCAUUUGAUCGAAGCCCGAGUAAACGGCGGCCGUAACUAUAACGGUCCUAAGGUAGCGAAAUUCCUUGUCGGUUAAAUACCGACCUGCAUGAAUGGCGUAACGAGAUGGGAGCUGUCUCAAAGAGGGAUCCAGUGAAAUUGUAGUGGAGGUGAAAAUUCCUCCUACCCGCGGCAAGACGGAAAGACCCCGUGGACCUUUACUACAGCUUGACACUGCUACUUGGAUAAAGAUGCGCAGGAUAGGUGGGAGGCUUUGAUCCAUAGACCCUGGUUUAUGGUGAGCCAUUGUUGAGAUACCACUCUUCUUUAUUCGGGUAGCUAACUAGCCUAAGUUAUCCUUAGGUAGGACAAUGUCUGGUGGGUAGUUUGACUGGGGCGGUCGCCUCCCAAAAUGUAACGGAGGCUUACAAAGGUUGGCUCAGAACGGUUGGAAAUCGUUCGUAGAGUAUAAAGGCAUAAGCCAGCUUAACUGCGAGACAUACACGUCAAGCAGAGACGAAAGUCGGUCUUAGUGAUCCGGUGGUUCUGUGUGGAAGGGCCAUCGCUCAAAGGAUAAAAGGUACCCCGGGGAUAACAGGCUGAUCUCCCCCAAGAGCUCACAUCGACGGGGAGGUUUGGCACCUCGAUGUCGGCUCAUCGCAUCCUGGGGCUGGAGCAGGUCCCAAGGGUAUGGCUGUUCGCCAUUUAAAGCGGUACGCGAGCUGGGUUCAGAACGUCGUGAGACAGUUCGGUCCCUAUCUGCCGUGGGCGUAAGAAGAUUGAGGAGAGUUGACCCUAGUACGAGAGGACCGGGUCGAACUAGCCACUGGUGUACCAGUUGUUCUGCCAAGAGCAUCGCUGGGUAGCUAAGCUAGGAUGAGAUAAGAGCUGAAAGCAUCUAAGCUCGAAGCCAACUCCAAGAUGAAUCUUCUUUUAAGAGCUCUAGUAGACUACUAGUUUGAUAGGCUGGGUGUGUAAUGGAUGAAAGUCCUUUAGCUGACCAGUACUAAUAGCUCGUUUGCUUAUCUUUAUAUAAGCAUCACUUC